UACGUAGGUCCCAAGCGUUAUCCGGAUUUAUUGGGCUUAAAGGGUGCGUAGGCGGCUUAUUAAGUCAGUGGUGAAAGCCCCAAGCUUAACUUGGGAACUGCCAUUGAUACUGAUGAGCUUGAGUAGAUUUGAGGCGGGCGGAAUGUGUCGUGUAGCGGUGAAAUGCUUAGAUAUGACACAGAACACCAAUUGCGUAGGCAGCUCGCUAAACUCUUACUGACGCUGAGGCACGAAAGCAUGGGGAUCAAACAGG
rnacentral:rRNA from 1 species